AUAAAAUUUUUAAACUUUUUCAAAAAUAUUUUUCAAACCAGAAAAAUCAUCAAGUGAGCUCCAGAAAAUGUCGGUAAAACACAUAAAUGUACCAGCCUUUCAUUUUUGUCCCAUAGCUCUUCCAUCUCAAGCUCGCCACAUACCGUUCUCAUUUCCAUUAUGCCCCAGCAUAAAAUUUACCAGCUCCGCACCACAAUCUGUGUUUUCUUUUCUAUUGCUAGUAGUAACAUAAAAUGGAAGAUAAGACAAUACAAAAGAGUUCCUGACCUUAUUAUCACUCUACUGCUCCUGGUGUAUGCAUAUUCUUUCACCUGUUUUGUGGGAUUCACGGAUCAUAACUGGAUUGACAUGAUAAUGUGAGAGAGCAACAGGGAAGGUUGAAGAACUCGAGGAUAUUCUUGUCCAAGGGCAACAUUAAGCAGGCCCACUAUUCCAACUUUUACCACUUUUUUGGAAGUUUGCUGGAAUGAAAGAGAUGGUGGUUUCAUCUAGUUCAGAAGCAUUUGGCAGCUUCUUGUAGAUCCAUUAUUGUUGGUGCUCAUUUGGCUUCCUUGAAAGGGAAUAUCAGAUGACCCCAUGAGUAAGUACUUUGCAAUUUGCUUUUGAAUGUGGAUGUGCAAAUUCAAUCAUAACUAGUAGCAUUACAUGACCAUUC